rnacentral:rRNA from 1 species
GAUGAACGCUGGCGGCGUGCCUAAUACAUGCAAGUCGAGCGAACAGACGAGGAGCUUGCUCCUCUGACGUUAGCGGCGGACGGGUGAGUAACACGUGGAUAACCUACCUAUAAGACUGGGAUAACUUCGGGAAACCGGAGCUAAUACCGGAUAAUAUAUUGAACCGCAUGGUUCAAUAGUGAAAGACGGUUUUGCUGUCACUUAUAGAUGGAUCCGCGCCGCAUUAGCUAGUUGGUAAGGUAACGGCUUACCAAGGCAACGAUGCGUAGCCGACCUGAGAGGGGGAUCGGCCACACUGGAACUGAGACACGGUCCAGACUCCUAAGGGAGGCAGCAGGAGGGAAUCUUCCGCAAUGGGCGAAAGCUUGACGGAGCAACGCCGCGUGAGUGAUGAAGGUCUUCGGAUCGUAAAACGCUGUUAUUAGGGAAGAACAAAUGUGUAAGUAACGAUGCACGUCUGGACGGUACCUAAUCAGAAAGCCACGGCUAACUACGU